UUUCACCGGAAUUAUUGACAAAGACGCAUCGUUAAUUGGCCGACUCGGAACCAUAUGCGUGCGAUGUCAUAAGCCAAGUUCAACAAGUGCCAAAUGAAAUUUGCCGCCGUCGCCUUGUUUGCAAAAUAAACAGGCGAAAAAAACUGUUGUGCUGUAAACAAGCAGAUAAGCCGUUGGUGUAAGCCCCACAUACAUGGCCUGGAAAUAUAAUUUAGAAUGCAAGUGGGGAGGCUGUCGACGGGUGGAUACUUAACAGGGCGAAGAAAAUACAACACACGAAAAAAAGAUUUUUAGAAUAGAGCUUAAAGCUACUCAAUAAGAAAAGUAUCAAAUUCUAUAUAAUAAUACAAAGUAGAGAGGCGGAUUGCAUUGCAUUUUGUAGCUCCCUGCCAAACAUCAAUCCUAAACUUCUCCUCCUAAAAGAGGGUAUCGCUUCGUUCUCGGGAUCAUUUGCAUACACGAUAUGGCGGAAGGGACGAGCUGGUAGCUGCUGCUUGCUGUUUGCCGACGCAAAGUCGAUUGUCGAUAUACCAAAUUGACGUUUAGUAUAAUAAAUUGUAUGCCAUGGCUCACAUUGUCCCCA